rnacentral:lncRNA from 1 species
UGGGGAGAUGAGGGGAAUAGGGCAGGCAGCAACAGGGCAACAUGAAUUAAAUACUUAUGUCAGAACAUAUUUGUCUUACAUUAUUCAAGAUAAAGUGGAUUUUAAAAGCAAGUGGGUACCAAUGAUGGGGAGAUGAGGAGAAUAGGGCAGGCAGCAACAGGGCAACAUGCAUUUUUCAAGAGUGUUUAUUAAAAUAGGCAGUAAUCAGUACAUGUACAUCAUAUGAGCAGUUUUUCAAAAUUAGCACUUCCAGGAGAGGGGCUACAUCUCAGUUUUUUCUGUCUGUACAGUAAAAUGCCAAAAGUACUUCCCUAAAGUACAAAGGCAUUUCCCUAGUAGUCUUGGUACCAGUAACAAUAUGAUUACUAAACAUCUCCAAUGUGGUUUUCAUUACAAAGAAACAUGUUUCACAUAAAAGCUUCAUAAUAUAAUCCAGAGACAGAAUUUGUGCAUGCUUACAAUUUGAAGCCAGGCUGAAUAUAUUUGAUAUAUAUUUUUUCAUUUCUCCCAGUGUUUUUUAUUUUUAUAAAUAUGCACCUAGUUUCCUACCAGUUUAAAACACACACGAAACACUGCUCUGAGCACCAUGAUUGCCUUACAGUAGCCUCUUUGGGACUACAAUCCUAGUUCAAGGAGGGGAGUACUAAUUUCUAUUCUGACUUGCUCCUUUCCCCAAAUCAUGUUAGUGUUGACCAAAUCCCAUCAAUUUUCAGAUGCAAACAAAGGUUUCUGGGCAGAGGGCCAAAUAAUAAUUAUGAAUAAUUUCACAAUGAUCUGGUUAAGAAAACACCCAGAAAAUGAAUGAUUUCACAUGAUAAAAAAGCCUGGACUUGAAUUUAAACAAGAGAUGGACGUAAAAGGGAUGAAGCAUUGCUUCAUUCCCAGGAGGGAUGUUCUUUACUGCAGUACCCACAAAAAGACAGCACUAUCCCAGGGCUGAUCUUCCUAUGGGCCUCCACCAAUAGCCUUUGAGGUAGAUACUGAUGGCUUGAAGAGAGGUAGGUAAAGUCCAAAUUUGUUUUCAAUCCCUGCAAAUGUAGCAACUGCCAGUUUGUAGCCCCCAACGUGAUCAGGAUUCGGGGCAGGCAGGUUGAUCCUGGAUUUAGGAACUGGCUCUGAUCCCAUGGGUUUUCUAAAAGAAGAGAAAACAGAGUAAGAAGCUGUAUUUUUUGUUUGUUUUAACUUGAUAAAAAUAAC